AGACUUAGCGAAUGGUUUUAUUUAUCAUCAAUUUCAGAUCAACAAGAAACCAAAGGGUACAAUGUUAAUGACCAAAUAAAUAUAUUUAAAUACAUAAAACCUUUCCACAACUUUCAGAUUCUUAGAAGAUUUGUAACAUGCAAUGACCACAAUAUAAUUUGUAAAUAAAAAAAGCCAUGCAAAUUCUUUAAUUUACAGUUACUUUAUGUCCUGGAAUGUAAUUUAUACCUUUAUAUCUAUUUUAUAAAAACAAAAGAUGACAGUUAUCCUGGUGCACUGACUUAAAAUAAAAUAUAACACUAACUUACAAAAGAUCAAAAUUUUCCUGCCAAUACACAAUUGCUGUUACUAAGGUUAUAAUGAGUCCACUAAGACAAAAAUAUGUGCACUCAUUUGAACAACACAAAUGGAAAGCAAAAUUUAUCACAGUUUAUAAUUUGGAUAACUUGAAUUAUGGCAUGGCUAAAAAUCUUUUGAACAAUGCAAGUUUCUUUUUUUCCCCCAAAUAAAUCCACACUAGCAAUCCUAGUUUCACUAUGCAUAAUCUUUUGUUUGUUUUUUCCACACUAGAAGUUUGGCAUUCAUGUUUAAAAAAUGAAUAAGUGAGACAAUAAAAGAAAGCAGUGACAAACUAAUAUGUACACAACAAAUAGAAUUGGAAAUGAAAUUGAGUACACCAUUAAGGCAGAUAGAUAUAAACUGUAGUGCUUUACAAACUUCUCUUACAUUGAAGAGAAUAACAAAAGCUCUAGUAUUAGAUCAAUUUUUUUGUUUGUAAAACAUUCAUAGUAAAGUAGUUGGUUGUUGUUUUUUUUUAGUUAAUAGAAAAUAAUUUUUUAUAUUAAUAACUAAAUGUAUGGAGAAACAAAAAUAAUUUGUCACAAAAAAAAAAAUGGUUUCAUCAUAAAAUGGAUAAAUCAAAAUCAUUUUGACAGGAGUGUAAGCUGAGAAGAAACUUUAUGCUGAAAUACAAGGAUUAUACAAUGCACAAAAGAAAAUAAUAAACAACUGAGUAUUUUGUACUACUUCAAUGCAGUAUGUAACAAAUUCUUCUGGAAAUUGUUUCACGAAAGAAAGCAUCCUACAGGCCUAAGUAUACAUGUUUGGUAUAAUUAUUCCAACACUGUACCAAAUCUACUUUAGUAUUUGUUGUUUUUAUUCUGCAUCAAUUAUUCUUUUAGUUUUCUAUUUAGUUACCAACCACUACCACAAGUAAAUGCUGCAGUGUAAGAACUGCUAAGGACAUCUUUUUGGGAUUUCAGAUAAACAUACCAUAUUAGUUACUAUUAUUAUGAUGAGCCGAGGAAGAAAAAUAAAGCAGGAGGAAAAUAAGCACAUUGGAAAGAAACUCAUAUAUUGCAAAUAUUUAGUAAUAGUGAACCGGUGGAAAAGAUAAUUUAAUUGUCAAUAGCAAUUAGCACAUUUUUAGUUUAAAUCUGAGUACACACACAUAUAUAUAUAUAUAUAUUGAAAAUGUCAUUUAUGUGCCCUGGGCAACAGAAUGUACAAUAACAGAUUUUAUGAACUAAGAAAAGAAUAUAAAAAAAGUAACAAAGAUUUAGAAAAAAAAAAAAAGAAAAAAA